rnacentral:tRNA from 1 species
UUUAAAAAGCUUCUAACUUUUAAUAAAGCAUAUAAUGUUUAUAUUUCUU